GCUGGGUGUGGUGGUGCAUACCUGUAGUCCCAGCUACUUGGGAGGCUGAGAUGGGAGGAUCGCUUGAGCCCAGGAGGUGGAGGUUGCAGUGAGCUGAGAUCAUGUCACUGUAGUCCAGCCUGGGUGACAGAGCAAGACCCUGUCUCAA
rnacentral:sRNA from 1 species